AACAGCUUGCUGUUUCGCUGACGAGUGGCGGACGGGUGAGUAAUGUCUGGGAAACUGCCUGAUGGAGGGGGAUAACUACUGGAAACGGUAGCUAAUACCGCAUAACGUCGCAAGACCAAAGAGGGGGACCUUCGGGCCUCUUGCCAUCGGAUGUGCCCAGAUGGGAUUAGCUAGUAGGUGGGGUAACGGCUCACCUAGGCGACGAUCCCUAGCUGGUCUGAGAGGAUGACCAGCCACACUGGAACUGAGACACGGUCCAGACUCCUACGGGAGGCAGCAGUGGGGAAUAUUGCACAAUGGGCGCAAGCCUGAUGCAGCCAUGCCGCGUGUAUGAAGAAGGCCUUCGGGUUGUAAAGUACUUUCAGCGGGGAGGAAGGGAGUAAAGUUAAUACCUUUACUCAUUGACGUUACCCGCAGAAGAAGCACCGGCUAACUCCGUGCCAGCAGCCGCGGUAAUACGGAGGGUGCAAGCGUUAAUCGGAAUUACUGGGCGUAAAGCGCACGCAGGCGGUUUGUUAAGUCAGAUGUGAAAUCCCCGGGCUCAACCUGGGAACUGCAUCUGAUACUGGCAAGCUUGAGUCUCGUAGAGGGGGGUAGAAUUCCAGGUGUAGCGGUGAAAUGCGUAGAGAUCUGGAGGAAUACCGGUGGCGAAGGC
rnacentral:rRNA from 1 species